UGUUAAACAUUUCAUUCAUUUCUACCGUUAAAAGUUAGUGACUGAUAAAAUAACCAGAAAGUUACAUGUGUACCUUAUUCUAAUGUACGAAGAUUAAUUUUUAACAAUAAAAAUAGAUAAAAUUUUUAAUA
rnacentral:pre_miRNA from 1 species